GAUGAACGCUAGCUACAGGCUUAACACAUGCAAGUCGAGGGGUAACGAGAGGGAAGCUUGCUUUCCUUGUCGACGACCGGCGCACGGGUGAGUAACGCGUAUCCAACCUGCCCCCAACUAGGGAAUAACCUUGCGAAAGUAAGACUAAUACCCUAUAAUUUCCUCAGAUGUCAUCUGACGAGGAAUAAAGAUUUAUCGGUUGUGGAUGGGGAUGCGUCUGAUUAGCUUGUUGGCGGGGUAACGGCCCACCAAGGCAACGAUCAGUAGGGGUUCUGAGAGGCAGGGCCCCCACAUUGGAACUGAGACACGGUCCAAACUCCUACGGGAGGCAGCAGUGAGGAGUAUUGGUCAAUGGGCGGAAGCCUGAACCAGCCAAGUAGCGUGCAGGAUGACGGCCCUAUGGGUUGUAAACUGCUUUUAUACAGGAAUAAAGUUAGCCACGUGUGGUUAUUUGUAGGUACUGUAUGAAUAAGGACCGGCUAAUUCCGUGCCAGCCGCCGCAGUAA
rnacentral:rRNA from 1 species